CCUCAGCCCUAGAUGAGCUUCACUUCACUCCCUGCAGGGUUCAAUCUUGAACCCUCAGGCCAGACAGCACUGGGGAGGAGGGGACAUCCUGGGAUGGGAUGGUGCCAUCUGCACACAAACAUGUACACAGGUGGCCUACAGCUGGAUGUUCUAGAUAUUCCUUUGCACACAUCUUCCCUGCACCUACCCCGACAGCAGACCUGAGCCUUAUUGUACCAGAGAGACAGUGGAGGACACAAACACAGACCCCAGCACUGCCUUCCAGGAGGGUACAGGAGCUGGGCCCACAAUCACAUGAGCCAGUGUGAAACAAGAGCUGGAAGGGGACACAGUGAGCUAUCUGGGGCCUUCCUGGAAGAAGGGACUGCUAGGCGGAGAGUUAAGGGAGUCACGAUCCCAAGGCAUACCAUGAGGAAGGAGAUAGAGACACAGGGGAAAAAAAGAUCGCAGAGAGUGAUCUCCUCCACCCUCCAGAUCUCAAGAGAAAGGCCCCAGAAGCCUCUAUCUGUCACUGAUAUAAUCUCAGAUGAGGCAACUGAGGCUCAGGGACAUAAAGUCACCUGCCUAAGGUCACGAGCACACCAGAGCUCUGCAUCCAGGCCUGGAGCCACCGCAGCUGCUGGGGCCCUGGGAGCAUGAAUAAUAAUGUGAUGAUAACAAAAUAACAGUGUCAGUAGUAAUAACGAGGAGGCCGCCGAGGAGAACAUAUGCGUGAUCUCUUCCAGCCACCCUGCUCCCCCAACAACAGAGGUACUAGGAUCCCUGUUUUACAGAUGAGUAAACUGAGGCUCGAAGGCCUGCCUCUGACCCUCUCAGUCUGAUACCACAACCCUUUACCCCCCAACCCCUCAAGCUCUCAAGAGCACAGACUGACUAUUCGCCCUCCAGGAAGACUGCCUGCCAGGAGGGUCAGAGCUGCAAGGCCUAAGGAAGCCUGGGAAUGGUCCUGAGGUCUGAAGGAAGGCCCCAGCAGGCAGCAGUGGCCCCAUACCUACCUGAGCCAGGCUGGCUCUGUCGCAACAGGCUGUGUGACCUUGCAGGGCCUUAACUGACCCACCUGUAAAAUAGGAGCACAGGAGCCCUAUACCGCCCCCCGCCCCCCGCUUGAAUGCUAACACAGUGCUGGGCACUAGGUGGACAGGAGAUACCAUGGACCCCAUGGUCAGGGAGCUCCCAGCCAAGGGACACACACAGAAGGGUUUAACAAAGUCUAUGCAGAGAACCCUGAGAGCUCAGACAAUGGGCAAAGUGCUGGGGAGCAGUAUCCAGAGGGCUUCUUGGAGGAGGUGAGGUAGGAAGUGGAAAUGCCUCUCCUCUGACCCCAUAACCAGCCCACAGAGAAUGCCAAGGGAGUGGGUGUGGCCCACUUAAACCCAAGACUGGGGUUGGACCUUGAAGAAACCCAGAACUACAGACCACAUCAGAGUGACAGGGAUGCAAGAUGCCCAGCUCAGCCUGCCCAUGACGCUCCCUUUGAUUCUGAACAGCUAUGGGAAGUGAGGCCUACUAUCCUGAGCAGGGCACACUUGGCCCCUGGAAACUCUGGAGGUGAGGGAACACACAAACAAGUCCCUGGGUCAAUGUUGGGUGCGCUGACUCCCUCGGAGCAGGCCCCAGGGGUCUCGCAAAUAUCAUCUCCUCUUGGAUCCUUCAGUUCCUCUGACACAUGCACCAGGCUCCUCUCUAGAAACCCACUCGUCCUCAGGCCCCAGCCACAGCACAGUCCCGGUCAGCUCGCUGCUCUCCCACGCAGCCCACCUCCACUGGGCAGCGAAGCAGCCCGAGCCAGGGCCAGCACCACUUCGAGUGGUUAUGCAUCCCUGAACCUUUCCGCAGCUCUCUGAAAGGAAUCUACAAUCAUCCCCAUUUCCUGGAUGAGGAAAAUGAGGCUUAGAGAACCUAAGGGACCUGCCCAAGGCCACACAGCUCAGGACACCCAUGUUCCUCAUCUUGCUGGCCUCUUUGUGGGUCAGUAUCCCUGACCUGUCCCAAGCCUGGCCACUUCUUGCCCCAGCCCUGACCCUUCUCCUGUCUGGACAAAGACCACACCAAAACCCAAGCUCCUCCCGAAACUAGGACGUGGUCUGGCGGAGGCUUGUGGUCAGAAACGCUACAGGGAGUCCAGAAAGCAGUGGAGGUCUCUGUGUACCCUGAGACCCCUGGGGCAUGGGGGUCUUCUGAGGCUCAGAUGGGGUAGUAGGGAAAGCUCCCACAGGCACACACGGAUGGGGGUGAUGGGGGUUAGGGGAUGGCUGUCUUCUGUGGCUUCGUCCCUGGGGAAGAGUCAACUUCAAGGCCCCUAUCGCCCAUACUUGGGAGGAGCUGCCCAUGGGAUUCUGAAGCUGAGGCACACGUCCUCUGGGAAUGAGGCUGAGCUCUACCCAUCGCUGCUCCACCCACUGGAGGCUACUGCUGAGGAGCCAGGCAAGCCCCCCCUCUCCCAGCCUCAGUGGAUUCAUCUGCACAUUGGGCCCAAUAAUGUCCUUUGAGCCCUUUGAAAAAGGCUUUGAGAAUAGGUUUAGAGGUUUUUCUUGAGAAAAGGGGUUUGGAAGAACUGGUCUAUUUUUGCCCGGGGGCACUGGAGACACUGGGGUCAGUGUACCAUAGCAGCUUGACAAUGGCUUGUUAAACACACAGACAAGCGGCUGGGUUCUUAUCCUCAGCAGGUCUGGUCCACGAACCCUUCCUAGGUGUCCACUCUGGGCCAGGAUACUGGUCUACCCUCUGGUCCUCACUGUCCAUCCAUCUGUCUGUCCCACAGCUGCCCAGCCAGGUCACUGGGGUCCCUCUCCCUGGCCUGUCCGGAAGCUACACGUCUCCAGUGGGUCAGCACUAACGUCAGCAAGACUGGCCGGGCGUGGAGCCCGCCACCUCCGGAACUGCCAAUUAAUUAACUUUUUCAAAUUAAUUUCCCAAGCAAAAUUCCAUAAUUACAUCUGUCUCCAUUAGCCCAAGCCGGGCAGGCAAGAGGACCCUGCAAUGACAUGGAAUGUGGUAUAAGGGGGUGACCAUAGCAGCCCUGGUGCCAGGUCAGAGAGGCCACUGGGGGCUGUUUCACCCCAGUCGGGCACUGACCUGGCAUCCUUAUGGAUGCUAUCUGGUAAGGCAGGGGGGCUGAGAGACCAGAGCCCCCCAGGAAAGGAGGUGGGGCCUCAGGGAGACCCAUGGCCUGCCCAGCUUAUCCCACUGUCCCCAUCCCCCUCCCCGGUGCCCCUAAAAUGACAGUGGGUCUUGGCAUGGCCCAGUAGCAGCACAGGCACCAUGAGGCUGAGGAGGCCACGGCUGCAGCGUUCUAAUUUCCCAAAGGGGCUGAGAUUAAUUAGCUCACACACAGGCACAGAGAGGGAGAGGAGAGUGGGAGCAGGAGCAGGCAGCGUCAGGCGAGGAGCUGGCUGGCACUCCCCCCUGCCCGCCCGGCAAGCAGUCGGCGGCCUUGACAGCCUGGGUGCUCUGAAGGUCAAUGGCCAAGCUGGCUGAGCCAGCAGAUUGGCACCGUCUCCUUCCCAGAAUUCUCAAGACCAAGGGUGGGGCACAGUGACCAGGAGGAUAGUCUGGGGGGAAGAGGCUCUGCUAUCACCACGAUCUAUUGGUUCUGUGCCAGGUGCUCUGUCCACACCAUCUUGUUUGAUGCACACAGUAACCCACAGAGGUAGGCACAGUGGUUCUCCCAUUUCUCAGAUGAGGACACUGAGGCUCAGAGCUGAGUGGGGCCCUGGUGUGGUCAAGGUCAAGUGUGGACAGUAAAGGUGAAGCUGAAAUGCAGGCUGGCCCAACUCUAGAGCCCAUCCUGCUUCCACUGGAGCCCCGUGUGGGUGUGAGGGCUGCAGGAGCUCCGGGCCUGGGAGACUGGAACACCAGUUACAGAACUCCUGAGUGUGUCUGUCUAUGCGGAAUGGACUUACCCUGCCUCAGAGAGUGCAGGCCAGACUCGCACAGUCUUUUCACAGGCGAAGAAACUGAGACCAGAAAGGGGAAGUGAUCUGAGGCUGGGACCAGCCUCUAGUAAAGUCAACCCGACUCAGUGACCUUUAGCGAGCCCUGACCCAGGGCCAUGCAGCACCUGGUGCUGAGUGGCACAUGGACCACGGGAUGGGGGGGUCAUUGUGGCUAUGUCCUCGUGAACCAAGGAGGAAGUGCCAGCUCAAGGGCACUUGCUCAACUACUCCCUGCAGGGUGCCCAGGAGAGGGAAAUGGAGCCCAUAGGGAGGGGUGGGGGAGGUGCACAACCCUGACUAGGCCCCAGGCAGCUUCCACAGGCCUAAACAUGGAGUUUCCCAGAACUUGUCUGCAUGAAGAACCCAGAAACCCCAAGGGGCAUCCAUCUGCUCCCCAGGGGAUCCCCCACCCACCACCCACCCCUCCCCUGGGGUUAAGGGAUUAGCAGUUUCAAGACUUUUAGGUUCAAACCUGGGAAGUGGCUUAAGACAGCAGAGGGUGGCCGGGUGCGGUGGCGCACGCCUAUAAUCCCAGCACUUUGGGAGGCUGAGACAGUUGGAUCAUGAGGUCAAGAGAUCGAGACCAUCCUGGUCAACAUGGUGAAACCCCAUCUCUACUAAAAAUACAAAAAUUAGCUGGGCAUAAUGGCACAUGCCUGUAGUCCCAGCUACUCGGGAGGCUGAGGCAGGAGAACUGCUUGAACCCAGGAGGCUGAGGUUGUGGUAGGCUGAGGUUGCGGUGAGCCGAGAUCGCGCCAUUGCACUCCAGCCUGGGUAACAAGAGAGAAAUUCAGUCUCCAAAAAAAAAAAAAACACAGCAGAGGGCCCUAGGGCAGUUAAGGGGCUGGGCAUGGGGAGAGGCUGGCCCAACUAGAACACUCCAAAUCCUGUGUGUGGGUGAGGGGAGCCCCUCAUCUCAGAGACAGGCUCAAGCCAUGCCAGGGUCCAGGUGGGCCUUGGAGUCAGGAUUCCUCUCCUAGCUCUGCAGUCUUCAGCUUAGAUAACCUCAGACAGGUUGCUGACCCUCAGCUGAGCCCAACCCCUAGCCUGUGAAAAGCAGCCACUGACAACCCCACCCUCAUCAUGAAGGGGUCAGUGUAGGGUCCACAUGCAGUAGGUGCUCAACUAACCAUAGCUGUGUUAUUGUUUUUACUGUCAUUAUCUGCCAGCA